UAGAUAUGGGCAGAGACUGGAAGG
rnacentral:piRNA from 1 species